ACAUGGGUUUGGAUUAACGGCAGGCCCAGCCUCAUGGGCCUCUCAUUGUGUCCCGUGCCCGAGCAAACUGCAGCCCUGAAGCCUUGCCCUGCCUCGUAGCCCACAGGCUUCUGGCACUGAAGCAGGUUGCACGGUG
ensembl:snoRNA